UUGAUUGUUUUGUUUGGGGCCUUUGUAAUCUUUUGAACAUUUUUCUCUCUCUCGUAUUUAAUAAUCCAUCAAUUUAAGUUACGAAAAAUGAAGUAAUUUCGGUGCGACUGCUGAUUUGUUUGGCAUUUACGGCGUGGACGAAAUCGGAGGCGACCCCUCGCGACUCGUGCCCAAUGUUGUUAACAAGUCUGAUUAAUGUCCCCGAUUAGCAUAAGUAAACAUUAAGCAAAUUAUGUAUGUAUGGUACUCCAUACAUACAUAUGUACAUAUGUACAUACGUACAUUCAUUUGUACAUCGGGUUCGGCAGCGGGUUCGUUUCGUGAUUCAAUAUUAGAUUUCUUGAUUGGCCGUCUAUUAUUUUACUUGUGCCUUGAUUUUUUGCGCUAAUCAGUAAACAACCGAGCUGGCCCAAAAGUCAAAUAAGUGCUGGAAAAACUCCAACACCAAUAACGGCUGUAAACAACCUUUAGCGUUAAUUAAAAGUGUACACAGAAAUUUGCAUUCACGACAAAAUUGGUUAACGAAACAUUUAUGCUACAGUGGAGCAUCAAUAAAAAUAUUUAAGUUAACUUGUAUAUCCAUUUGCCCAACAGAAAUUGAAAGAUCAUUCAGAACCUAGCGUGAGUUCCACUGCAGACAACAGUUAACGUAGUGACGAAGCACACCACGCAAUAUAUCUGCAUAGUUUUAUAAACACAUAUUAAUUAUUAUUUUAAUUGCAUCAGUUUUGAUGCCAGUUUUAGAUAGCCAGUGUGCCCUGUACCCGUAGCAUACACAUAAAAAAUGAGCUAGGCUGGCCAGUUCGCCUUUUUGAUUGAGUUUGUCGGCGGAUUUAUGCGCUGACCACUGCUGGCGGCGAUUUGGCGGUUUUGGUUUUGGAUUUCGGUUUUUGAAUUUGGCGUGUUGAAGCUGAGCGCCGUCCCAACUGUCAGCCGUGAUAAAUGCCCCUGGAUAUAGAUAGGAAUUCAGUAUUGGCCGGCAUAAAUAAUUCGGAUGUAAUUGGAAAAGCCGCUGUGAUUAUUUUGACAUUCGUGCCGGCUUGCAGCGAAAUUUCUCCCCUUUUUUAUAGCGCACAUGAUUAUGGGUUCCGCCAGAUAAACUCAUUAAUAAAUCCAGACUCUGAUUCGAGCACAUUAAGCUGUCCAUUAGCGUAAUACAUCAGCCGUCGACGGUCUGUAAUUUCGAUCUGAAAUUAAUGUAGGACAGAAAGUUCCAGCGUGGUCUCGACUCGUUUCAUAUUCCCCAGCGAUAGCUGACACCUCUUAUCCAACUCCCAGUUGGCGGACCACAAAACCGGCAGUCAUACAUACGUGUCCGACAUCCAGGCAUUAACCGUGUAAGCUUUAGUUACCGAUCCACAUCCCAGGUGCUCCAAACGCAAUCCCAGUUCCCAAAUUCAGGCACAUCCGUGGUCAGCCAAGUGUCGCAGCUGACCCACAUUCCUGGGGAAAAAACGAGCCAACAAACUACUACCCAAAUGAAAUGUUUAUAAAAUGAAAUCAACAAAAAAUAAAUUACACAAAAUGGCAAAAAGAAAAUCCCAGCCUCGCCUCAACUGACUGACAGAAACGGUUCGUCGUCGUCGUCGAUGCCAAAAAAAGGAAACCAGUCGACAACUUUAUGAUGGGAACAAACCGAAACCGAAAUCACCAGCAAAAACAAAAAAAAUAUAAAAAAAACAAGACAACAAAAACGGUUUUGAAAAUCGAAAACUGCGUUGACGUCCGGUACAGGAGCAAUUAGGCAGCGGUCUUAUCAACGUCGCUCAGUUUCGUGAAUAAAUCUCAGCAGCCAAGUGUUGGAAACACCAUUUCACAUCUCCGGGUUAACACGACCUUAUAAGCUCCAUGAAACUCCGAUCUUUUGCGCACACAUGUGAUGGAUUUUCUGUUGAGUUUAAAAGAUGUUUUGUUUUACAUUCGAAACAAAGCUGGGGCAUUCAUUGAAUAGCAAAAGUGGCACAUAGAUACGAAAUACGCGCACUAUUUAUACACAUGAUGGUAUUUAUUCACAAGCUGAGUGUUAUUAAAGCGGAAGUGCAGCGUAUGGCAACAUUUUAGUCCAUCUCCGGACCAAUUCUGCUGAGGCAGCAAAUGCGAGGAGGCAUGCUGCCAGAUGAUUUAGUAGGCGUUGCAAACACUCGCCAUAUGCGUGCAGCAUGCGGCAGGCAGCCACUUAAACUUCACAUCUCUCAUGCCACGGAAAACAAGAAAACAACAAAAACACACAAACAGAAACAGAAAUCAACAGCAGAAGAACAGCGCGACUUUCCUCACUUCCCUCGACUGCUAAAAACAUUUCGCAACAGAAGUUGGCAAAAAAUACAAUAUUAAGUCAUAAAAUAUAUUAAUUCAUCCUGUUGGAUUAUGUGGACUGUCCCCUUGAGGAAUCCCUUUUUGCAAGCCCCUCAUCUUUCAGUUCGGGCUCAUUGGAGGCAACGCAUGCGCAAAUUGCUCGCCGACUGCUCUGGCAAUAAAUUCAUAAAAAAUCAUUAAGCUGAAUUUAAGCAUCCACAAGAUGCAAACUUCUUCGCGCAUGUGAGCAGGGAUUGGCAAAGGGAUUGGAACCGAGAUCGGAUUGGGAUCGCCAUUCUGGAUGGAAUGGGAUGGGCUGUAAGAGCUCUGUAAUAUCGAUGCCGGAGCAGUCGGGAUGUCGCAUUAAUUUCAAGCUUAAGCAAUCCACUGUUGGACAUCUCCCAAACCCCCAUAUCCCAUAUAAAUGGUAUCUGAAGCACAUGGAACACUCGUAAAUUUAAGUCAGCAGCAGAGGAACGAACCAUCCACUUGGUGGAAAAAACAAGGUGACUCGCGGGAUAAAGAUGUUAGACAAACCCAUAAACUAUAUUAAAAGUGUGCCAUUACGGCUUCUUGAUGUUAUGGCUUUAAAAUGUUGUCUAAAUUCAUUUUUAACAUGGCACAUUUAAAAAAAAGCUGUUUACUGUUUUUAGAAUGUGUGGUAGGUCAACACUUGUGCGUUUAUCUGUAUCUAAGAUUACAUAAAGCAAAUUACAUAAUUUACAUAAAGCAAAAAGAUAGUAUAAGUAUAAAUUUAAAGUUAACAUAUAUG